rfam:Neotoma lepida isolate 417 scaffold_786, whole genome shotgun sequence.
CCAAAGGCUCUUUUCAGAGCCACUUACAUGGUCUAAAAAGAAGCUG